rnacentral:rRNA from 1 species
GGGACAGAUGAUUAGGGUGAAGUCGUAACAAGGUAGCCGUAGGAGAACCUGCGGCUGGAUCACCUCCUUUCU